UAGAAUUAGUACAACGUAACUGUCUAUAAAGGAAGCUAGGUAGGGGAAGACCCCAAAUCAAGAUGUUAAUUGCCAGUUAAAGGGGCAAGAUGCUAAUAAAAUCUAUGAUGUUAAUACAGAGGAAAUUAUCAUGGAAUACAAUGGAUGAUUGUAUAUAAAUAAUAUUAUCUGUUGUAUGAAGA